CGCGGUGAAUACGUUCCCGGACCUUGUACACACCGCCCGUCAAGCCAUGGAAGCUGGGUGUACCUAAAGUCGGUAACCGCAAGGAGCCGCCUGGGGUAAAACUAGUAACUGGGGCU
rnacentral:rRNA from 1 species